rnacentral:rRNA from 1 species
UAGGGAAUCUUCGGCAAUGGACGAAAGUCUGCCCGAGCAACCCCGCGGGAGUGAAGAAGGUUUCCGGAUCGUAAAACUCUGUUGUUAGAGAAGAACAAGGACGUUAGUAACUGAACGUCCCCUGACGGUAUCUAACCAGAAAGCCACGGCUAACUACGUGCCAGCAGCCGCGGUAAUACGUAGGUGGCAAGCGUUGUCCGGACUUAUUGGGCGUAAAGCGAGCGCAGGCGGUUUCUUAAGUCUGAUGUGAAAGCCCCCGGCUCAACCGGGGAGGGUCAGUGGAAACUGGGAUACUUGAGUGCAGAAGAGGAGGGUGGAAUUCCAUGUGUAGCGGUGAAAUGCGUAGAUAUAUGGAGGAACACCAGUGGCGAAGGCGGCUCACUGGUCUGUAACUGACGCUGAGGCUCGAAAGCGUGGGGAGCAAACAGG